ACGCACGCUGGCGGCGUGCUUCACACAUGCCAGUCGAACGGAGAGGCCCUGCUUUUGUGGGGUGCUCGAGUGGCGAACGGGUGAGUAACACGUGAGUAACCUGCCCUUGACUUUGGGAUAACUUCAGGAAACUGGGGCUAAUACCGGAUAGGAGCUCCUGCUGCAUGGUGGGGGUUGGAAAGUUUCGGCGGUUGGGGAUGGACUCGCGGCUUAUCAGCUUGUUGGUGGGGUAGUGGCUUACCAAGGCUUUGACGGGUAGCCGGCCUGAGAGGGUGACCGGCCACAUUGGGACUGAGAUACGGCCCAGACUCCUACGGGAGGCAGCAGUGGGGAAUAUUGCACAAUGGGCGGAAGCCUGAUGCAGCGACGCCGCGUGCGGGAUGACGGCCUUCGGGUUGUAAACCGCUUUCGCCUGUGACGAAGCGUGAGUGACGGUAAUGGGUAAAGAAGCACCGGCUAACUACGUG
rnacentral:rRNA from 1 species